AAUUUUUUUAGAUGAUACAUAAGAUGAUUUAGCCAGCAUGCGUGCAGAUACUCGAUAUAGCUUGACAGUGACAACAUACACAUCAAGCUGUACUUUGUUCAAACUAGAUCUACGUACCGGAAAAAGAACAACAAAACCAAGCUUUGCAAGCUAGGACAAACCUCAACAUGUGAUGGAAAGCUUUAGUGUUAUAGAUAUGCAUCAACUUCAGCAAUCAAGAUACAAUUUCUGCAAUUACACUUUCUUGAUGAUUUGGACGACGUCUUCAUCUUCUAGUUCAUGUUCCUUGCCCACCCUCUGAGGCUUGUGUUUUGCACUUGAACCCCAAACCAGGGCAUAUUUGAAUUGUUUAACCAUAUCCUUGUGGAUUCUGUCACAGAAGUCCUCCACUGUCCUCCUCUUUGAUGAUAGAAUAACUGGAUCCUCAUAGUCUGGAUUCAUUCCCUUCGGCUUUGUGUAUAUGCGGGUUAGACUAAGAUAUUCCCAAAUCUUCUCCAGCAGGCCAUCAAGAUUCCAUUCCAAAUGAGCACUGAUUGGACAAUAGUGCGGAAGUUUAUCCAGAAUCUCCAGCUCUUCCAUUGUGAUUUGAUCAAUUUUGUUCACAACAUAGAUGCAAG
rnacentral:misc_RNA from 1 species